GUGGCUGUUCUGACGUUGGUUGCAUUUGUAAGAUGUUCAGUGUAACCACAGACAGUCACACACAUCAAACAUGGUUCCUGCCGACAGUGUCUGUAUAGUUAUCAGAUCUUCUGUGCGAUGGCUCCAUACAUU